UACGGAGGGUGCGAGCGUUAAUCGGAAUUACUGGGCGUAAAGCGUGCGUAGGUGGUUUAUUAAGUUAUCUGUGAAAUUCCUGGGCUUAACCUGGGACGGUCAGAUAAUACUGGUUGACUCGAGUAUGGGAGAGGGUAGUGGAAUUUCCGGUGUAGCGGUGAAAUGCGUAGAGAUCGGAAGGAACACCAGUGGCUAAGGCGGCUACCUGGCCUAAUACUGACACUGAGGCACUAAAGCGUGGGGAGCAAACAGG
rnacentral:rRNA from 1 species